CCAGACUCCUACGGGAGGCAGCAGUGGGGAAUAUUGCACAAUGGGGGAAACCCUGAUGCAGCGACGCCGCGUGAGUGAAGAAGUAUUUCGGUAUGUAAAGCUCUAUCAGCAGGGAAGAAAUAGCGACCUUUGGGUCGCCAGACGGUACCUGAUUAAGAAGCCCCGGCUAACUACGUGCCAGCAGCCGCGGUAAUACGUAGGGGGCAAGCGUUAUCCGGAUUUACUGGGUGUAAAGGGAGCGUAGACGGCGUGCCAAGUCUGAUGUGAAAGGCCGGGGCGCAACCCCGGGACUGCAUUGGAAACUGGCAUGCUGGAGUGCCGGAGGGGCAAGCGGAAUUCCUAGUGUAGCGGUGAAGUGCGUAGAUAUUAGGAGGAACACCGGUGGCGAAGGCGGCUUGCUGGACGGUAACUGACGUUGAGGCUCGAAAGCGUGGGGAGCAAACAGGAUUAGAGACCCGGGUAAAA
rnacentral:rRNA from 1 species